rnacentral:rRNA from 1 species
UAACGACUCUCGGCAACGGAUAUCUCGGCUCUCGCAUCGAUGAAGAACGCAGCGAACUGCGAUACUUGGUGUGAAUUGCAGAAUCCCGUGAACCAUCGAGUCUUUGAACGCAAGUUGCGCCCGAAGCCAUUUGGACGAGGGCACGUUUGCCUGGGUGUCA